CACAGCGCGCGCUUGCACUGUGAGGGAGCUACAAUUGCCGGUACCACCAGAAGACACCUGUUGAAUGUGUUUUAUGUCUUCUGCAGAAGUAAACUGUGAAAAGCCAACCCUUCUGAGCGUCUGUGA